ACAGAUUUUGAUAAACCUUUCAACAGAGAUACAUAAUAGGCAAUGUAAGACUCCAUUAAAUUUUGGAGGUAAUCUGGAUCCAGAUCCUGGAUCAAGAUUUCACUUUAUAUAGUCUUUGAAGGAUUAUGUCAAAACUACUUCCCAGAAUCUCACCAAACUUGCACCUCAGAUAGAUAUUUGGCCAUGGGAGAACCCAUUAAAUUUUGG